GUCUCUUGCUCCAGCCAGAGCUCGAGGUUAGCUCUUCACUGCCCUGUGUCUUCUUUCCAAGGGUCUCGGUGAUUCGGCCACAGCCUCAGCCUCCAUCACGCGGUGAACUGAUGGUGCUGGAAGAUUCAUAGACUCCAGGACAUUCCUGAAGCCGAGAAAAGGUUAAGUAGGGUCUGGCCUGGAAUACUCUCCUAGAUGAAGAUAGCCCAACCAUGAGCCACCUUCGAAGCAGAUGAGAUGAAAUUAAAGCUCUUCAACUCCUAAAGGCCCAGAGACUAUCACAAAAGAGGUCAGAAAUCCUGAAGGUCACUUUCUGACAAACUCAGGAACCCCAGGUUUAUCUUGGAGCCUCAAGAGGAGAUAAAUUCACCCAACUCAGGCUGGAGUGCAGUGGAAUGAUCUUGGCUCACUUCCGUCUCCGCCUUCCAGUUUCAAGUGAUUCUCCUGCCUCAGCCUACUGAGUAGUUGGGAUUACAGGUGCCUGCCACCACACCCAGCUAAUUUUUGUAUUUUUAGUAAAGAUGGGGUUUCACCAUGUUGGCCAGGCUGGUCUCAAACUCCUGACGUCAUGAUCUGCCCGCUUCAGUCUCCCAAAGUGUGAUUACAGAGUGAGGCUGGCUGGGGGAGCCUGGGCUCCUCUGUCCUCCCCGAGGUGGCAGUGGCUGAUGUCUGCUCAGGUGUGAGGGGGUGCUGCCAUCCUCUGGGCCUGAGGCUGCCUGGCCCAGCCCCUCCUAACUCCCUGGACUCUUCCACGGUGUCUUCAGGCCCCUACACCAUCCUUUGUGUAAGGGGAGGUGGCAGCAUAGAGAUGAUGGGGGAACUGCCCCAUGUGCCAAGGAAAGCUCACCCAUCUGUGCGAAAUGCUCUGGUUGACAUUGGGUUUUUGCGCACCAAACUGGGCCAUGACCAAGGUUUAUAACCAAGGUGUCUCCGGGCAUGGGCACUUUGGCUCUUGUAGAAACCACCCCACUGGCAGGAGACGGCGGUAGCUGUGGUCAUUGAAAACAAGCUCCUGCUGAUAAAUCUCAGACACCAGACACAGAAGAACCUGGAGACCCUGCCAGAGAGCUUGAGGCAAAUGGAUGGACUGUUGGAGCAGCUGAGGGUGAAGCAGCACAAACUCCUCAAAGUUGAAUAGCAAAGCAGCCACCAGAGAUGGACAAGAAAAAUGAACAAAGAAAAUUAGCAGAAAUCAAAGGCAGAUGCUAAAGCAGUGCAAAAUCAUUCAUUCAAUGAUAGAAAUGAAAUUGAUGAAGGAGUCUGGAAAAUGAAUGACAGAAGAGAAUUAAACAGCAGUGACCAUAGUAAGGUCCUGACGAUUCUGGUCCACUGAAUCCCAUCAUCCCUAAGACAGUAAAUAUCAUCACAGUCACCACCAGCAAGUUACCACCACAGCAUUUCCUGUUUGUUCCAAAAUGAAUAAAGAUGAUUCUCAUCACAAGGGCAAAUACAAAGUAGUUUAGUAUGUUUUUAACUAAACUAAAGGUGUUUGGUUUACUUUUUCUAAGUUCUCAUAAUUCUGAAAAUGCAGUUGACACUUGUGUGGCUCAUGAUGUUUUUAAUAGUCUAAUGCUACUUGAAUUGUUCAAAAACCACUGUAUUUUAAAUUAAGAUGAAUAAACGGUCCUUUGAAAACUGGCACAAGGCAAGGAUGCCCUCUGUCACCACUCCUAUUCAACACAGUAUUGGAAGUUCUGGCCAGGGCAAUCAGGCAAGGGAAAGCAAUACAGCGUAUCAAAAUAGGAAGAGAGGAAGUCAAAUUGUCUCUGUUUGCAGAUGACAUGAUUGCAUAUUUAGAAAACCCCAUCUUCUCAGCCCAAAACCUCCUUAAGCUGAUAAGCAACUUCAGCAGUCUCAGAAUACAAAAUCAAUGUGCAAAAAAUCACAAGCAUUCCUAUACAUUAAUAACAGACAAACAGAGAGCCAAAUCAUGAGUGAACUCCCACUCACAAUUGCUAGUAAGAGAAUAAAAUACCUAGGAAAAUACAGCUUACAAGGGACAUGAAGGACCUCUUCAAGGAGAACUACAAACCACUGCUCAAGGAAAUGAGAAGAGACAAACAAAUGGGAAAGCAUUCCAUGCUCAUGGAUAGGAAGAAUCAAUAUCGUGAAAAUGGCCAUAGUGCCCAAAGUAAUUUUAUAGAUUCAAUGCUAUCCUCAUUAAGCUACCAUUGAUUUUCUUCACAGAAUUGGAAAAAACUACUUUAAACUUCAUAUGGAACCAAAAAAGAGCCUGCACAACCAAGACAAUACUGGGCAAGAAGAACAAAGCUGGAAACAUCAGGCUACCUGGCUUCAAACUAUACUACAAGGCUACAGGAACCAAAACAGCAUGGUACUGGUACCAAACAGAUAUGUAGACCAGUGGAACAGAACAGGGCCUCAGAAAUUGAUAUCACUCUGUCACCAUCAAAAAAUACUUAUUUAGUGUCAAAUCCUACUGUGAAAUAGCAGAACUGUGGGAUUUGUAAAGUGGAAAUGCAGAAUUCAAAACAGAGAUAUAUACCAAUGGAACAGAGCAGAGGCCUCAGAAAUACCACCACACGGCUACAACAAUCUGAUCUUUGACAAACCUGACACACACAAGCAAUGAGAAAAAGAUUCCCUAUUUAAUAAAUGGUGUUGGGAAAACUGGCUAGCCAUAUGUAGAAAAUUGAAACUGGACCCCUUUCUUACCCGUUUUACAAAAAUCAACUCAAGAUGUAUCAAAGACUUAAAUGUAAGACCUAAGACCAUAAAAAUCCUAGAAGAAAACCUGGGCAGUACCAUUCAGGACAUAGGCAUGGGCAAAGCCUUCAUGUCCAAAACACCAAAAGCAGUGGCAACAAAAGCCAAAAUUGACAAAUGGGAUCUAAUUAAAUUAAAUAGCUUCUGCACAGCAAAAGAAACUCAUCAGAGUGAACAGGCAACUACAGAAUGGGAGAAAAUUCUUGCAAUCUAUCCAUCUGACAAAAGGCUAAUAUCUAGAAUCUACAAAGAAUUUAAACAGUUUACAAGAAACAAACAAACUGCCCCAUCAAAAAAUGGGCAAAGAUAUGGACAGACACUUCUCAAAAGAAAACAUUUAUGCAGCCAACAGACACAUGAAAAAAUGCUCAUCACUGGUCAUUAGAGAAAUGCAAAUCAAAACCACAAUGAGAUACCAUGUCACACCCGUUAGAAUGGCAAUCAUUAAAAAGUCAGGAAACAACAGUGCUGGAGUGGAUAUGGAGAAAUAGGAACACUUUUACACUGUUGGGAGUGUAAAUUAGUUCAACCAUUGUGGAAAACAGUGUGGCAAUUCCUCAAGGAUCUAGAACUAGAAAUAACAUUUGACCAAUUCCAUUACUGAGUAUAUACCUAAAGGAUUAUAAAUCAUUCUAUGAUAAAGACACAUGCACACGUCUGUUUAUUGUGGCACUAUUCACAAUAGCAAAGACUUGAAACCAACCCAAAUGUCCAUCAAUGAUAGACUGGGUAAAGAAAAUGUGGCACAUAUACACUGUGGAAUACUGUGCAGGUGUAAAAAAGGAUGAGUUCAUGUCCUUUGCAGGGACAUGGAUGAAGCUGGAAACCAUCAUUCUCAGCAAACUAGCACAAGAUCAGAAAACCAAACGCUGCAUGUUCUCACUCAUAAGUGGGAGUUGAACAGUGAGAACACAUGGACACAGGGAGGUGAACAUCACACACUGGGGCCUGUCAGGUGCUGGGGGGCUAAGGGAGGGAUAACAGGAAAAAUACCUAAUGUAGGUGACGGGUUGAUGGUUGCAGCAAACCACCAUGGCACAUGUGUACACGUAUGUAAUAAAACUGAUGUUCUUCACAUGUAACCCAGAACUUAAAGUAUAAUAAUAAAAAGAAGAAUAAAUAUUUGUUUUAUAUAUUUAAAGCUUAGAAUCACAAAUAAUGCUUCUGUUUAUGAUUUGAAAACUUCAAAGUUUGGUUUUCCUUCUGUACAUACACAAAACAUUGUAUUGUGCUGAAAUAUUUGUUUUUUAAAGUGGCAGUCAUAGUUCCUGUCUGUCCGGAUAUAUAUAUGUAUAUAUGUUAAGCAUAACAUAAGAAAGAAAUUUCAUUAGCUGGGCAUGAUGGCUCACUCCUGUAAUCCCAGAACCUUGGGAGGCUGAGGUGGGUGGAUUGCCUGAGGUCAGGAGUUUGAGACCAGCCUGGCCAACAUAGUGAAACCUCGUCUCUACUAAAAAUACAAAAAAUUAGGUGGGCGUGGUGGCAGGCACCUGUAAUCCCAGCUACUAGGGAGGCUGAGGCAAGAGAACGGCUUGAACCUGGGAGUCAGAGGUUGACGUGAGCCGAGAUCACACCAUUGCACUCCAGCCUGGUGACAGAGUGAGACUCUGUCUGAAAAAAAAAAAAAAAGAAAAAUUUUAUUUUGUUUUCGGUAAUCUAAGAUUGUUGUACACAAAAACUUUACAGAUUAUGGUAGGGUUUAGCAAACUGUGUAUAUAACGUAACAUUAAUAUCGCUAUUUUCUGAUGUCUAACUUUUAGGAAAGAUUUUUUGUUUACAAAUGUCUCCACAAAUUCUGGCUUAUUUUAUAAAAAUAGCAGAAUACUAAAGAAAUGGGUGGUUUGCCACACUACAUGAAUUCACACACUACUGGCAUUCAAUUAAAAUAGCAAAUAUUUUCCUCAAAAUUUAGACAGAUGAAAUAAUUUCUUGAUUUUUGAGUGCAGUGACAGACAUUCACAAAUAUUUCAGAAAUCAAAGCUGUAUUAGGUUUUACUUAGUAGUAAUAUGUAUAUAAGAUCAAGGAUCUGUUCAGAAUAGAUAUUUUUCAUCAAUAAUUUGGUGCUUUCAAAUACCCAGAAGUCUUGUUUUAAUCAGAUGAAGUCUGAGGAUAGUUUAGUAAUUUUACUUUUUGUAUGAUGUGUUCACAAUUUUCUAAUUUAACCUAGUAUUGAUUGAUGAUGGGUAAACCAACUUUUUUUUUUAAUCUCGUAGGUUUAUUAUGUUGUUGAAGAUGUUUUUAGUUAGAAUUCUGUCUUUCAAAAUUGUUUACAGAGAUUUAGGUCUAGUUGAAUUUGCUCAACCUGUUAAUCAGUGUCAGCUGCCAGAUUCUAAUUCAUUUUUAGUGUGCCUGUACUUUUCUUUCUCUAAACUAAAUUUAUAUUCUCUAUAUUACUUGUUCAAAUGUGAUAUAAUACAGCUCACACAUUUAAAACAAAACCAUGAGGACAAAUUAAUUCUGGCUUAGUAUAAAGAAGCUGUUACCAAAUUAGUGUUACAUAUGCAGAUGGAUGCAGCUCAACAAAAUUUUACACAAAAAAAAUUGAAUUGAACUACACGUGUUGCCAUGACUUAGCCUCUAAUGAUCUCGUGAAUAAAGACAAAUUUCAACACA
rnacentral:lncRNA from 1 species